rnacentral:lncRNA from 1 species
CAUUGACCAACCUGAGGUCCCUGACUCACUUGGGGCCUCACUGGCGGCAGGCAGUCACCAGUGCUGAGAACACCAGAGUGAGUCAGGGUUUCCAGACCUUGCUGCCCAAAGCAUCUUGACUGACUGAUCCGACAAGUAGGACUUUUGGUGCUGAAACAGACCAUGAAAAUACAGCUUCUUCUCUGUGAAUAAUUUUCAUUUGAGAAUUCAAGUGGAACUCACCUACAAAAUGACAAAAACCACCUCAACAUCAAACCCAACACUUCAAAUAAGUGACCACGUAUUGCUUAUAGUUCACAAGACAUCCAGGGAAGGAAAAGGGCAGCAGACAAAGGAAUUUUACAAGCCUGCCUUUCCACUGGAUGAUACUUGACACAGACAUCAGAAGAGAUGUUGGCAAUGAAUGUGAAGAGACAGAAGACACAAGCAG